UACGUAGGGGGCUAGCGUUGCUCGGAAUCACUGGGCGUAAAGCGCACGUAGGCGGGUCGUUAAGUCGGGGGUGAAAUCCUGGAGCUCAACUCCAGAACUGCCUUCGAUACUGGCGACCUUGAGUCCGGGAGAGGUGAGUGGAACUCCGAGUGUAGAGGUGAAAUUCGUAGAUAUUCGGAAGAACACCAGUGGCGAAGGCGGCUCACUGGCCCGGUACUGACGCUGAGGUGCGAAAGCGUGGGGAGCAAACAGG
rnacentral:rRNA from 1 species